rnacentral:tRNA from 1 species
ACAUUUGUGUUCAGAGUGGUGGUAGAAUUCUCGCCUUCCAUGUGAGAGACCUGAGUUCGAUUCCCAGCCAAUGCG